UAAGAGGCAAACUCUUUUUUUUUUCCUGUGAUGAACCACCCUUUUCAUUUGCCACUUGGGCAGUUUGCUCUAUUCAUGCCCUGUUUAGUUUGCUCUACGAAAAUAUGCAAAGAUGGCUCCAAACAAUUGCAAACAUGUCAUUUCAUCAAUUAUACUGUGUUGCCAGUUUAGAAAGUGGCAAAGUGCAUCAUUUCAUUUAUUUUUUCCGAACUCCCUUUUCGUGGUGUUUUCUAAUUUGUCUGUUUCCUGAUGCUAACUCAAGUGCUGUUAUUUAGCUUGCAAGGCUGGUGAUCCUCAGCAUGGAGAAACGAGGAACCAGACGUUGGAGAUUUUUUAAUUUCUUCAUAUGUAAAAAUGGAUCUUGGUAAGUAGUUCCCUCAUGUAUGAAGAUGUGCCAUGUGGCUAAUGCCAUCAAACUCUUGUUACCCCAACCAAGUUAUUUGAGAUAUAAUAACUGCAAUAUUCUUUAACUACUUAAUCAGAACUGCUCCUCAUACUGACAUGUUACUGAGAUGUUUCCUUGGUGUUUCCUUUGACAAAUAAUUUAUGGAACCAUUUAUUAAAAAUUGUAUCUAUGUGGCUUGACUGAACCCUAGGAAUGUAACCCUACGUGCAUGGACUGUUCCAAGGUCAUGGUAAAUUAAGCAGCCCAAUGUGUUAAUGCAAUUGCUAUUCCUUGUAGGCAUCACGAAAUGUUCAGACUAAAUUUGAUAUAUCUUAUAAUUCUACUUGAAAAGAUGAAUAAGGCAACAAGCCAUUCAAGGAAUUGCCAGUCUGAAGCCAUGUAGUGAGUUGAGAAACACAAUUGCGUUAGUUGCAGCCAAUUCAGAGGCAUGCCCGAUGAAUUUGGUUUAACAUGCCACCAUGUCGGGUGAAAUGCAGAACAAUGCACAUUUGUGUAUUUGUUUAAAAGGCUAAAUAGUGUUAGUUUCUUUCUGCCACAAGUGCUUAUACAGCUAUACUAAACCUGAUACAUGCAUGAUAACUUACUUUCGCACCGAGCAUUUUAUUUUAUUUUGCAUUGUCUGGGAUAGGAAACUGUGCGCUGACAUUUUUUUUUGUGUGCAUUGGCAACCUUCUGGUGUUGUAAAGCUGUCUUCAUUUUACUCAGUGCCUCUAAGAGCAUUGUUGCGGAAUGGUUUACCGAAAGUUUUGGACACCACAGCUGAUACUGUUAUAUCGACAGUUGAAUCCAGCAGCUGCUUACGCAUUCAGUUCUUAAUUAAAAAAAGAAUGCUGUCAUUGAUCUGAGCGCUGUAAAAAUAUAUCUGCACAAGCAUAUCAAGAUUCUACUGCUGACCUGUGCUACCGCAGAGGUUUCUGCCCUGGGAGCAGAUAAUUAAAUUCAUCUGCCAUAUCUGCAUACUUUUACAAUUUUAUGCACGAUAUCUUUUGCUUCCGCUGUCUGUAGAUUGACUUCAUAACUCAAUUAUGAAGCGAUUUGAAUACCAUGCCCCUGUUUGUUUGGGCUAAAGCUUCAGCUUUUGCUACUUCUAGCUUCCUAGAAGCACAAGCUGGAACAAACAUCAAUUUUUUGUAAAGGGCAGGGCGCUUGGGUUUCGGGUCACCCCGCCGCCACCAUUUCCGGCCACCCCACCGGCUGUACCAGCAUACCUCUCAUUCUGUGAUCAGUUCUUUGUAACUGAAUAACAUAUCUCUAUGUUUGUUCAUCAUGUUAUCCCUCGUAUUCUGUCUCGCCAUUCUUAAGUCGAUAUGUUUGUAUGUUCGCAUGUUUUUCAUCUACAGCUACUUGGUGAUUCUCCUCACAUCAGUUCUGCUAGAUAUAUCUCAGUAGUUCGUAGUAGUUUUUCCUCAAAGUCAAUUCCAUUCUUAGUUUUAUCUAUACUUGGAAUUGCCUUAUUUUUAUUUAUUCCGCUGUGUUGUGGUGAGAGAUUUCAUUUUUCCGAA